rnacentral:lncRNA from 1 species
CACUACAUCAUCAGUUCGUCACCGUGCACAACACUUCUUAUCUCGGCCAAGCAAACCGAUGCAAAGAUUAUAUAUUCAAAUCUGCAACACAUAAUCUCGUAGCUCAGUCGAAGACAUCAAGUGCAUGUACAAUUGAUAAUAGAAAAUAACAUAAUUGAUGCAAAGAUUACAUAUUGAUUUCAUUUUGAUAAGAAAAGAUUUGAAGUUAAUUAUUACGAGAUCACAAUAACAAAUACAUUCAGCUUGUUUGGAUGGAAUUCACUUUGAAAUGAAAUUCAAAUCGUUAGCUCUCGUUUUGAAUCAAUUUACAAGUAAUUUGGCUUCGUUCGGGAAAAAGGUGAAAGAAGCCAUACCUUUCUCCUUUGAUGAUUGUCAUCGAGAACGUGUUUGCUGCUACAUUAUCACCUUAUGUUACGAUUUUCUAUUCAAAAGUUUUAAUAAUAAGAAUAAGCUUCAUCAAUGAAUGAAAGAACUACUUAUUUUACUAUGUUCUAAACCAGACGCCACACAUAUAUACAUACUAUGUAAUAUAACUGUGAUUCUUCACUAUCAAUUCUAUUGCAUCACAUGGCCUGAACUUGGAGAGUGUGGUAACUAGAGUUGAAAACGGCAUUCAAUCUGAAUCCUGCACUCUUGAAAUAUAAAAGGAUAUAUUAGCAAAAUGUGCUCUAGAAUUAGAGAUAAAUCUUAUGCCCCCUAAAACAUCAUUCAUGGAUUCUACAACUAAAGUCUGAUAUCAAAUAAUAGAUGUCCUGAAAGGUUUCAUAUAAUAAUCUGUCAAGGAGCAUACCUAGAAAGUAGCGUACACUCUUUAGUAGAAUUUCACUGUUCAACUGGAAUAUGUAAACUUUAAAGUCGUUCAAUCCACCAAUGUUCAACUGGAAUAAGCCUGAAUUUUGUUUUUACUAGCACUCAUAAAAGUCGUUCAAUCCACCAAUUUCACUAUUUUCUGAGCAGAGCACCCACUAAAUGAUUCACGAAAUUCACAACUUAUCGAGCAUAAAUAAUCAGAAGCCUAAAACUGUGAAACAAAACUCAUUUUUUUUAUCAACACGAAAAAAAAAGAAAAAAGAAAAAAAAUCCACCUAUUUAGAGUUGUGAAUCAUUUUUGCAUUAAUAUUUACCCUUUUAGAGUUCAAUUAAUUCACUGUAUCUAAUAGAAUUUCACUAAGAAACAAGAUAUCAACACGACAACAAAUUCUGCAGCUCUAUCAUUUAAAAAAAUUCCAAAAAACAGAAAACUCAUCAUCUGGAAUAUUAGAGAGAGCAAUAUAAUGCGGAAAAAACAACAGAAAUAAAUAUUUAAUAAGAAUUUCAGUGAUACCUUUUAAGUGGCAGUCUUCGAUUUCCCCGGUAAUGAUUUGAAGAGACCAACUGUAAUUCACAAUAAAAACAAACGAAAUAUAAAUGUAUAUCGCUCCUUAAUAGCUUAUGAAUCCUGAGGCACAUUGAAUAACCAUAGAAGUUCAUAUAUCCUCCACCCAUCCAAACCAGUU